AACUACCCAGCUAUCAAACGAAUCUCCCUAGAACACCGUAACCGCAACCAUCCUCUAUGAACAAAAGACGUUUUACUACAUCAUAAACAUGCAACCAUCAAACAGCCAUUCAUACCCUAAGCCGAACAGUUUAUUUAUCAUUCUUUUUUAGUCGUUCGGUCAACUGUCUCAUUGAAGUAUACACCAAACAUCAUUUUAUUCGUACAAACCGCUGAUGAAAAGUAUCAUCUUGGUUUUUUUUUAUUAACUAGAAAGCAUUUUAACAAUGAAUAAGGAACACAAAUGUUCAGCAGCCCCUGUCCAUUGAGCAAGACAAUGCUUCAUUGCAACAUGAGAAUAAAAACCAGUUGUAAACUUCCUAGAUUGUUAUAGUUUGUUCUUAUGUCGCAUUGUUGAAGUAGAACACUGUCGUAGGUUGGGGGGAGGUGUUUGCGCUAACAAUUAUGUUUAACCCCGGCACAUUCUAUAUGUGCCUAUCCCAAGUCAGGAUCCUGUUAUUCAGUGGUUGUCGUUUGUUGCUCUUUAAUGUA
rnacentral:lncRNA from 1 species